UCAGCCUAUAUACCGCCGUCGCCAGCACGCCUGAUAACAGCAACCAAAGCGAGUACAAUGACUUAUACCGCACAUACGACAGGUCAAGGUGUAGCUUAUGGGGCGGAAGAGAUGGGCUACACUACCCCACAAUGGAGCACCAAACUGAUAUGAAAACAACACGCAAAGCCGGAUUUAGAAGUAAGUUGGACAAGAAUGCCUAACUGAAACUUGCCCCGAGAUGUGUACACACCGCCCGUCACCCUCCUCAAAACCCCCAACCCAAUACCUAAUAACCAAUCAAAAACAAGAGGAGAUAAGUCGUAACAAGGUAAGCGCACUGGAAAGUGUGCUUGGAUGAUCUUAAUGGUAGCUUAAACCAAAGCAUUUGGCUUACAACCAAA
rnacentral:rRNA from 1 species